rnacentral:lncRNA from 1 species
AAUUAAAAUAAGAACAUAUUAAUUUAAUCUAUGAUUAACAUAUUUUAAAAUUAAUGAUGACAAAUUUACCAUGCAAGUUUUUCAAAUAUAUUAACAUUUUUAAUGAUCAAAAUCUUUUGGCAUAAUAGUAAAAACCGUAAAAAGUGACCAGUGGAAAGAAAAUUAAAAUAAUUGACAACGUAAGUCCUAACUAUGAUCAAAAAGGAAUACAGAAAAUAGUAAAACAUUUUCUUAUUGGCUUUAAUUCUAAGUUUAAAGAUGAAUUAAUGAAGGAGUAAGCAUGAACAUUUAUUCUAAUUCUGGGAAUCACAAAAUACUCCCAACGGCAUUAGAGUAGAGGUUAAAAAUCUCAACAAGUUCUUUGCCAGAGAAUGUGGCUUUCACAUGGAAGAGGGCAAAACUGAGCAUGAUAAAGGUGAUCAUGUGUUUCUUGUGUGUAAACUCCUAACUCAUCACUAAGUUUUGACACACUUCUGGCUUUCCUUGGUUUAGAGCUGCAUUACUCAGAUCUCUGUCUUCAUAUUCACAGAGAGUUUUUCCUGUGAGUGUAACAGUGUCCAGAUUUUUCCCUUUGCUAAGAACACUAGUCAUACUGGAGUAAAGGCUCAUCCUACUCCAGUAUGACCUCAUCUUACCUCAUUGCGUCACCAGUAAUCUUAAGAUUGUUGCAGAUGUCAUGAGGUAAGAUGAGGUCAUACGAGGGUAGGAUGGACCUCUGAGGCACUGGGGGUUAGAACAUCAACAUUUGAAUUUGGCAGGUGAUACACUUCGACCCACAACAGGUAUGUAAGCAAUAAGACUAAUGCUUUAAAAGAUUCUGAUCCAUGAGCUUUGGGAAUCCAUCCUUGAAAACGCAAUGAUUUAGAAAUUACAAACAAUUAUAAGCAAAAUUCCAACAAAGCAUAGUUGUAUAACAAAUUAGGAGUGUCAGGACUAAGCUUUCUGUAUAAUGUUUUGAAUUCUCAGAUAUAAGAGAGCACUCACCUUGUGGCUUUAACUUUAAUCUUUGCAGGAUACAUGCAAAAGGAAUAAAAAUAUUUUUGUUAAGGAAGAUUGCAAAGAGUUAAGUUUUAGUUUUAUAAAUAAAGAGAAAAGUGGUGAAAAUAAUUCAAAACAAAAAUAAAUCAAAAUGUCAUGUGUAAUGAAAUGGCAAGAGAUUUAUUUUAUCAUCUACAGGUUGCUUAGCUUGUUUUUGUGCUACAGUAACUUUCCAGGGGCAGCAGAGAGAGGUGGAAAAUGUAUGGUUAUGCUUUUUAUUCACGACGUAACUUUGGGUUUGCUGUUUUACCUCUGAGUCUUUAAACUACAUAUGUAGCAUUCUCACAAGUAAAAUGGGAAAAGUAAAUCAACUUGUAAUGAAGGCUUGAUGAAGCUUAGGCUAUGCUAAUGAAAUAUUAGGUCUAUUCUUUCACUGUUUUUCCCUCCAGAUUUUAACCCCUACUUUCCUGUUAAUCAGGAACGUGAUUAACAGGCACUGACUUUGGGGAAAGGAUGAAUUUGUAAAAGUACAUUUGUGAAGGAAAUAUGCAAACAUACUCAUUAUGAACAUAGACACAAUUGGGUAAAUAAAAUUUAGAAUUUCUCAUAUUACUUCUCUAACAGAACCCAGUUUAUAAUUUUUUAAAAAUUAAGAUAAUAUGGAACAGAAACAAAUUUGGAAAAUCAGACCUAAAAGGUCUCUAGUACAUUUAUCUGCUUAAAGUUAUAUUUGUAUUAACCACACCCCAUGUUCAAUAAAACCUUAAAGCUCCUAAUAUUUA